rnacentral:rRNA from 1 species
GAUCCUGGCUCAGGAUGAACGCUGGCGGCGUGCCUAACACAUGCAAGUCGAACGGACUUUUCAUGAAGCCUAGCGAUUGAAAAGUUAGUGGCGGACGGGUGAGUAACGCGUGGGUAACCUGCCUUGUACUGGGGGACAACAGUUGGAAACGACUGCUAAUACCGCAUAAGCGCACAGCUUCGCAUGAAGCAGUGUGAAAAACUCCGGUGGUACAAGAUGGACCCGCGUCUGAUUAGCUGGUUGG